GAUGAACGCUGGCGGCGUGCCUAAUACAUGCAAGUCGAGCGAACGGACGAGAAGCUUGCUUCUCUGAUGUUAGCGGCGGACGGGUGAGUAACACGUGGAUAACCCCCCUAUAAGACUGGGAUAACUUCGGGAAACCGGAGCUAAUACCGGAUGAUAUUUUGAACCGCAUGGUUCAAAAGUGAAAGACGGUCUUGCUGUCACUUAUAGAUGGAUCCGCGCUGCAUUAGCUAGUUGGUAAGGUAACGGCUUACCAAGGCAACGAUGCAUAGCCGACCUGAGAGGGUGAUCGGCCACACUGGAACUGAGACACGGUCCAGACUCCUACGGGAGGCAGCAGUAGGGAAUCUUCCGCAAUGGGCGAAAGCCUGACGGAGCAACGCCGCGUGAGUGAUGAAGGUCUUCGGAUCGUAAAACUCUGUUAUUAGGGAAGAACAUAUGUGUAAGUAACUGUGCACAUCUUGACGGUACCUAAUCAGAAAGCCACGGCUAACUACGUG
rnacentral:rRNA from 1 species